ensembl:lncRNA
AUUUUAACCAGGGACACCACUGAUCCACACGCUGAGAUAGAUUGGGCACUGUCUGUGGUUGAGAAGAAACUAUGCAGACAUUUCUCAAGAAUUGUCAUCAGAGGAAAAAGAGGACGCCCAGUUCCUACUCUACUGACACCAGAAAUGCUGGGUGCAUUGGAUUUACUUGUAAAGAACAGGGAACUUGUGGCGUGCUAAAAGAAAAUGUUUCUUUUUGCUCGGCCAACAGCAACAUCACAUUACAGAGGCUCAGACUGCAUCCGCAGCUUUGCGAAGUGUUGUGGUGCAGAUGUUCCAUGCACACUUACAUCCACAAAAUUACGAAAACAGGCAGCAACUCUUUCUACAGUUCUAAACCCGAGGGACACAGACUCGGAUCAAUUAGCAAACUUUCUUGGACGUGAUGUCCGUAUUCAUCGUGAAUAUUAUCGCCUUCCUGUAAAGACCCUACAGCUUGUGAAAGUCAGCAGAGUUCACAGAACAAGGAGAAGUUGGGCAGUUUCAGGGCAAGAAUCUGGAUGAGAUCACUAUUGACCCAAAUGUUCUUUUUGCAGAGGAGAUGGAGCUAAUCAGCGAUGAAAUAAUGAGUGAGGAAGGUGAGACGUGAAGAACUUGAAGGUAAAACAUCUACUCUGUAAAAGAGGAAGGCUUGAGAAGUAAAUGAGGUCCAUGCAGUGGAGAGACGUAUGAAGACCUUCAUCAUGUCAUGUCGUGUCCCAGGGGAGCUGGCCUUUGAAAACUGCAUUAGAUCUGAGCCUUUAGCUCUGAAAGAUAGAGACUGGCAAAGUGUCAAAUUCUGUCUACAACCGCAUUGUGGCUUACAAAAGAGAUAUAAACAAAGAUUAAAUAACACUUUACAUCUAUAGUAAUGCUUUAAUAAGUUACAUCAUAUCUCUAGCUUUUUACUUUGUAAUAAACCAGUCAGCAUUUAAUUCAUAAUAAACUAACCAGGAACAAAUCGGUAUUAUUUAAAAUAUCCAUUAGAAUCUUUACCUACACCUUUUCCAUUGAAUGUGAUUGAAUUGGUUUGGGCCGCCUUCUUCCAGUGGGUCCUUAUGCAGUUGGCUGACAG